rnacentral:rRNA from 1 species
GAUGAACGCUGGCGGCGUGCCUAAUACAUGCAAGUCGAGCGAACAGACGAGGAGCUUGCUCCCCUGACGUUAGCGGCGGACGGGUGAGUAACACGUGGAUAACCUACCUAUAAGACUGGGAUAACUUCGGGAAACCGGAGCUAAUACCGGAUAAUAUAUUGAGCCGCAUGGUUCAAUAGUGAAAGACGGUUUUGCUGUCACUUAUAGAUGGAUCCGCGCCGCAUUAGCUAGUUGGUAAGGUAACGGCUUACCAAGGCAACGAUGCGUAGCCGACCUGAGAGGGUGAUCGGCCACACUGGAACUGAGACACGGUCCAGACUCCUACGGGAGGCAGCAGUAGGGAAUCUUCCGCAAUGGGCGAAAGCCUGACGGAGCAACGCCGCGUGAGUGAUGAAGGUCUUCGGAUCGUAAAACUCUGUUAUUAGGGAAGAACAAAUGUGUAAGUAACUAUGCACGUCUUGACGGUACCUAAUCAGAAAGCCACGGCUAACUACGUG